GUCCCCCUCCUGCCGGGCUCUAGGGAGAGAAAAGGGUUAAAACUCACCUUUAUUCCAGCGCCGGGCGGGGAGCUCUCCUCCUCCUAUACUCCUCCUCUCCUCCCUUUCGGCUGAAUGCGCACGCGCGGCAAGAGCUGCGCGCGCAUUCAGCCGGUCUCAUAGGAAAGCAUUUACAAUGCUUUCCUAUGGACGCUUGCAUAUUCUCACUGUGAUUUUCACAGUGAGAAUCACGCAAGCGCCUCUAGCAGCUGUCAAUGAGACAGCCACUAGAGGAUUUGGAUGCUGGAUUAACCCUAACAUAAACAUAGCAGUUUCUCUGAAACUGCUAUGUUUAUUAAAAAAAGGGUUAAUCCUAGAGGGACCUGGCACCCAGACCUCCUCAUUAAGCUGAAGUGGUCUGGGUGCCUAGAGUGGUCCUUUAA